GCGUCCAAUGGGAGCGGCGGUAGCGGGGGCCGCGAGGCCCGCCCGCGCGGCUCGGGGCGGUGCUGAGGCGGGCGGGCGCUGAGGCGGCCGUUUCCUGUCCUGGUGCAUGGUGGUCGGACGGAGGAAUUGUUGGAAAAUUUCUCGGCGAGGUAGACAAUGUUAUUAGCUCAGAUAAAUCGAGACUCUCAGGGAAUGACUGAAUUUUCUGGAGGAGGAAUGGAGGCCCAGCAUGUGACUCUUUGUCUAACAGAAGCUGUAGCUGUGCAAGGUGAACCUUCAGAUGGUGACAACUUAGAAAACAUGGAAGGUGUAAGUUUGCAAGCAGUUACCCUUGCUGAUGGCUCCACUGCUUACAUACAGCACAAUUCUAAAGAUGGUAAAUUAAUGGAUGGCCAAGUGAUUCAAUUAGAAGAUGGUUCUGCUGCUUAUGUUCAACAUGUACCCAUGCCUAAAAGCAGGGACAGCUUGCGUCUGGAAGAUGGACAAGCAGUUCAGCUGGAAGAUGGAACUACAGCAUUUAUUCAUCACACCUCAAAAGACAGUUACGACCAGAGUGCAUUACAAGCAGUCCAGCUGGAGGAUGGAACUACUGCCUACAUUCACCACACAGUGCAAAUGCCACAGUCAGAUACCAUUUUAGCUAUUCAAGCUGAUGGCACGGUAGCAGGUCUUCAUACAGGAGAUGCUGCCAUUGACCCAGAUACCAUCAGUGCUUUGGAGCAAUAUGCAGCCAAGGUGUCUAUUGAUGGAAAUGACAGUGUUAGUGGCACAGGAAUGAUAGGUGAAAAUGAACAAGAUAAAAAAAUGCAGAUUGUCUUGCAAGGACAUGGAACAAGAGUGACUGCAAAAUCUCAGCAGAGUGGAGAGAAAGCCUUUCGCUGUGAUUAUGAUGGCUGUGGAAAACUGUACACAACAGCUCACCAUCUUAAGGUGCAUGAAAGGUCACACACAGGAGACAGACCAUAUCAGUGUGAACAUCCUGGAUGUGGCAAAGCCUUUGCGACAGGGUAUGGGUUAAAAAGUCAUGUCCGAACACACACUGGUGAAAAGCCUUAUCGGUGCACAGAAGAAAAUUGCACCAAAUCUUUCAAGACUUCAGGAGACCUGCAGAAACAUAUUCGAACCCACACAGGUGAAAGGCCUUUUAAAUGUCCAUUUGAAGGAUGUGGCAGGUCAUUCACAACAUCUAAUAUUAGAAAGGUUCACAUCAGGACACAUACAGGCGAAAGGCCUUAUUACUGUACAGAGCCAGGAUGUGGGAGAGCUUUUGCCAGUGCAACUAAUUAUAAGAAUCAUGUGAGAAUACACACAGGGGAGAAACCCUACGUCUGUACAGUUCCUGGUUGUGAUAAACGUUUUACAGAGUAUUCCAGUUUAUACAAACAUCAUGUUGUACAUACUCAUUCCAAACCAUAUAACUGUAAUCACUGUGGGAAAACAUACAAGCAGAUUUCUACACUUGCUAUGCACAAGCGGACAGCACACAAUGACACAGAGCCCAUUGAAGAAGAACAAGAGGCUUUUUUUGAGCCACCUCCAGGUCAAGGUGAAGAUGUUCUCAAAGGCUCCCAGAUAACCUAUGUGACAGGUGUAGAGGGAGAAGAUGUAAUUUCUGCACAGGUUGCUACAGUUACGCAGUCAGGAUUAGGUCAACAAGUAGCACUAAUAUCCCAGGAUGGAACCCAACAUGUCAACAUAUCCCAGGCAGAUAUGCAGGCCAUUGGCAAUACUAUCACUAUGGUAACACAAGAUGGCACCACCAUCACAGUCCCUGCCCAUGACGCUGUCAUCUCUUCUGCAGGAACACAUUCUGUAGCGAUGGUUACUGCAGAAGGCACCGAAGGACAGCAGGUUGCUAUUGUGGCUCAAGACUUAGCAGCAUUUCAUAGUGCCUCAUCAGAAAUGGGACAUCAGCAACAUGGGCACCAUUUAGUGACUACAGAAACUAGACCCGUUACAUUGUUGGCUACAUCCAAUGGAACACAAAUUGCAGUACAGCUUGGAGAACAACAGUCUCUGGAAGAAGCCAUUAGAAUAGCCUCCAGAAUACAACAGGGUGAAACACCAGGGAUUGAUGAUUAACUGCUAAAACUGCUACCAGAACAAUAGAGUGAAAGAUGAGUGUCAAGAGCACUUCUGAAACUGAAGCCUCACCUUUUACCUUCUCAAGGGAAGGAAGGAUUAAACAUCUUCUGGAUGACGUGUUAAUCAAGUAAUCAUUUUUUUCCGGAAACAGUGGCUGGAACGGUGGCUUUGACUUAGCAAAGAGAUAACUUCAGUUCUUCUCAUUUCCCAGGACAUUUUCUGACCGCUGUACAAAUAGUGGAGAGACCUGUGCGAUUUUCUACCCUGCUUCCAUUCAGAUUCAGACCGGAGUGGAAGGAGCUGUUUUGGUAAGCUGAUGCUGCGUGUUGGUCUUGGAAGGACCUGUAGUGGAGAUUAGACAGGACUAAAUCCAGUUAGAUAGGAAUACUGGUGAAAAGAAUUUCAGGAGGAGGAAACAAAGAAUAUGACAAAAAGGAUUGGGUGUUUGGCAGUAGAAAUCUCUAUCCUUUCCCCAUAGAUUUUACUCCUCUUUUUGAAAGUUCUGUCUCAAAGGGAAUGCUGUGGCAGACUAGAAGGAAAUAAUUUGUAAAAGAGGAAUCCUAUAAAGCAACUCAGUAUAUCACUUCCUCUUACAAACUGGCUCCCACAUUUCCAGCAUUCUCAGUCACAAUUUUUCUUUCAGAUCUGAAUUACAGGCCUACACCAACUCCUCCCUUAAAGGAAUAAACCCAAAAUCUCUGUAGACUUUGCAGUCAACUUUUCACUUUUAAAUGUUGCUACGGUUUUUCACCACUGUGGGCUUUGCUUUUCUUUACUGUAGUUCAGUGCCUCUCCUGAUAGUAAAAGAGAGAGGCAAUUAUUUUCAGUGCUCCAGGCUGAUGACCUAUUGUGCCAGACACACUACGCAUAACAAUAGGACAGCUCUUUUUUACCUUAAAGAGCUAAUGCCAAAGCACACAUGAAUAGGCUGGGGCUGGAAGACUGUGUUUUUAUAAGAGUAAAUCCUGAAGCCUGACAACAAAGUUGUAAACAGCCAUAAUCCCUGAUGGUAUAAUUAAUCUCAGCAACCCAUCAGCUGACCGAUACCAGAGAUAUUCAGGCAGUGUGGGAGAAAAGGCAUGUGGUGUCUGCUUAGCACACGAGAAGGACAGAGCUGAUAGUCCAGGUAAACAAAAUGUCUGAGCUUGGAAGGCAGUUCUUCCUAAACUUUACUCUAGUUUCUAACCCUUGUAACACCUCAAAUGCUGCUGGGAGUAAUUUGUUUGACUGGGUGCUCUGGUUUCUGUGAUGAUCAUGCAGUAGUACAAUAUGGAAAAAUCACUGCAUACUGUGUACUUCUGAGUGCAGAGUCAGGGAGCCUUCCCCAAGGACAGGAAGCUAUUUAAUCGGUAUUUAGCCACCAGGAAAAGAUGGUUCGGAGUAAGGAUCUGAUCAAGAGUGUUUCUGAAUCUGGCAACUUCAGCACUACAGCUGUUGAGGUUAGUCAGAUUGCACACCUUAGGCUGACCAUAGCUUCUACUUACCAAGAUGCAUUAGUGUCCUAUAACAGACCUAUUCCAGUCACUCUUAGUUUGUUAUUGAAUGAAAGUAAUUAAAUGUUCUGUAAAAUUUUCUGUGUAAUUUUCAAAUAUAGCACAGAUGAAAUUUCAGUAAUAGUUGGGUGGGAAGCAAACUGAUUUUAAUAAGCGUUAAGAGACUGGAAAUGAAGGGUAACUUGUGUUCUGUUCAGCUAUUACUUUACAGUUGUUUGGAACUUUAAAAAUAUAUUUAUUCAGCCUGCAUCAUUUUUGUCUUGAAAAAGAGAAAUUAACACAUGCCUUGUCUUUGCAGAUGCAUAAAUUCAAACUCCAGCUGGUUGAUGACAGUAAGGUACUCCUAUUUUUUUUGCAAAGCAGUAUAUCUUUGAACACCAGAUCCCCCCAAAAGUAUUUUUUGCUCCAUUGAUAGAAACCUUGGACCCCUAUGACAAGGGACCAAAAAAUCAAGAGCCAUUUUCAGUUCUUGUGUUGUAAAUAGUACACUACACUCCAAAUAAGGCAUAGAAACAAGCAUUUUUUCUGGUGUUAUGUGUAUUUUAAAAUGCAGCUUAGGUGUUGCCAGCAGUUUGGCAUUCCUUUGAUGCUAUUUUUCAUUCUGCUAGAAAAGUUCACUUCGUCAAAGGAAAAUAACAAUCUAAUUAGACCAUCACCAUUAGCAGUAAGUGGUUGACACCUAACCCUAUCAGGAAUGUGAUACCAGACUUUUUCAGCUGAGGGUUAUAUUCAAAGCAGAUUUUAAUUAUCCCAAUAAACAUAGAAGCUUGUAUCAACAAGCAAGCAUUUUUUGUCCUACACUCUCUGUGUAUUUCUCUCUAAUGGAGAUGUGACCCCCUUAAAUCCUAUCCAUCUCAGGUUCUGAAACAGUAAGAGAUUUUAUUUGGAUUAUUUUUGUUCCAUUUAGAUUAUUUAAAGCAUUUUACUCGGGGCAUGGCAAAAAUUUACACUUUCAGGGCACAAGUGAUUGUGCGGAAUUUUUUCUACAAAAAAAAAGUGUCUUAUGUUACUGUCAAAAUCCUAGCAUUUGACUCUUGCCUUUGUUUAAAUCCCUUACCAGCCUUCAGGUUGACUGGCUGCUGUGUUUUACUUAUUUUUCUGCGGAGUUUUAGACUCUCCAUCAUGUUACUGCUUGAUUCUGUAGUAUUUUGCUGAGGGGCUUCUGAGCAGGUAUCUUAGUGAGGCAAGACAAGGAAGAGACGCUGACUUCCUAACAUCUGGCAAGUCUGCUGGCAUAAGAGAAACUACCCCAUGACUGUAGAAAGCUCAUGGAGAAAGGACAAUGUUCCAAAGCUACAUCUCCAGUGGGCUUUUUGCUUUGGUGUAGAGCUAAUUCAGAUUUGAGUACAGGUUGUAAUGACUGAAAAAUCAAAGGACAAGAAUGGUUUGUGGGACAGACAGGAUUAGCUGCUAUUUGUUUUUAAACAGGUAUAUUCAAGACAGUAAGAGACAGAUGUUUGAAUGUAGGUUCCUGAGGGUGGUGUUAGUGGGAAGAAGGUGGCUGAGCCUCUUGAAACUCUUACUAGGCUUUUAUCUUUUUAUCUGCAUCUCUGAAAAAUGUUUGCAGAAUGUCUUACCUUAAGUGACAUGCGUAAGAGAUUACUAAAAUGAAUAGUAGUAAAUUUGAAAAAAGGCUGAGUACCUCUUUUAUGGUUUUGCAUGUUCCCUGAAGGAGAAAAAGGAAGAAGGCUUGGGAUACUGGUAAAUUAGUAGUGACUAGUUUCUGUGCAUUAGACAUUUUGAGGUUUUUAAUUGCAGAUACAAAAUCUUGACUUCUAUUCUGAUCAUUUUAACUUCACUUCAGCACAGGAAUGAGGCAUUCUAAUUGUACUUGUUUUCAGUCAUAGCAAUCAUUCUGUCUCUUCAACUUUUAGGAUGUUUUGGAGGAAUUUCUGAUCUGAAUACAAAUCUCAGGAACGGAUUCUUUUGCCACUUUCUUUGUAAGCAGAUAUUUCAAGUGUUAAGAGGCAGACAUACAGGCAAAAAUGAAGACACUAAAAACUCUUAAGAGUGUGUGCUGUCAUAGUCACAGAGAAACAUUGAAUUGUACAUGACUGCUUGGCAAAACCUGUGCUUUUUUUAAUGUACCUUGUACAUUAUAACUUCUGAGUAUCUUCAGAUCUUCCCUUAAAUUCCCAGAUUUUGGGCCCAGAAAUUGCUCUUCACUUUGGGAAGCAUCCUAGGUGCUGUCAAAUUCCCCAUUCUAUUCUCCACCUUGUUCUCUUGCUCUUAUUAUUUACACUUCCUGAGUGAAUACAUCCUGGAGAAAUGCUCUAUCUGCAUGCAGGCUAUAGGCUAAAAAGAGUAAAAGCACUGGGAGCAUCAACUACAGGCAUGUCUUUGGACACAAAGUCCACCUUUGAUGGAGAACCCAUUCAACUCUGGACCUUGUAAUAAAUAAAAAGAGGUUGCCAUCUAACAGCAGCUGUUAGCACAACCCCAGAUAAAACAGUCUUUAAACUGUUCACCUUUAAGCUGUCAGUGGCCCAGAGACAACAUCUCCCAGUUGGCUGGCACAGUACCACUGAGACCUGUUAGCCUUGUAUAUGCCAAGCCUUCUGUGAACACUGGAAUGCCAUCACUGGCACUGGUGACAAGCAUGCUAGUCCCUAGGUACCUGCUGGAACCCAAGAGAAAAGCCGGGAAUAGCACAGAUCUGUCCCUGCUCUCAGUUCUCCAGCGACAGCCCUGGCACAGGUGGCUGUAGUGUUUCUAUUUUUCAUAUAAGCAACUUAACCUUCCUCCUCUUCUGCUUUUUCACUCCAUUUACCCUUCUCAUAAUAAGAGGAACUCAUUAUAGUUUCACGACUGUGCUGGCUGAUGUGGAAUGGGUUUCAUACAGUUUUUGGCAGAACUCUUCCAAUUUGAUCAAAGUGGUUUUGGGGGACUGCAGAUGAACUUAUAAGUGCAGGAAAUCCUGACAAGAUGGCAGUGUACUACCCACUUCUGUGGCAGUUUCUUCUGACAGCUAGACAAAUUGGCCAUUGUUGCAUUUCUUUCCCAUUCACCAUUAUUUGGGUUCCCCUGAUACCCACAAAAGAGGGAACAAUGGUUUCCCUUGAAAACUCCUAGUUAAAAGCAGCUGUUUGUCAGUAAGUGUGUGCUGCCCCAGAUAAGUAUUUCUGGUAGCAAAAUCUUCAGUGCACCAGACUGAUAUACUUAUUUUUUAAUUUAAAAGCAAGUAUUAAAAGAAAAAACCAAGCCAAUUUUGCGAAUAUACCCUGAAAACCCUUAAACCGCUCAAAUUGGUAGGAAUAUCAGUCAGGCACUGCCUGGAUAUCAGGUUACAUGCUGUUACAUCUAUUUGGAGGAUCAGGGCUUUAGUUUGCAAGAACUACAGAGGCUCAAAGAUGCAGUUUAAUCAGUUUCAGAGAAUUUGGGAUGAAUUUGGCUGAGUAUGGCGCAGUGGAAGCCUGCAGAGCUCAUCCCUGCUCACUUCUGUUCCUCCUGUGAUGAUGUCCAUUGCUAAUGUGCUCUCUGCCUAAGGGAAUUGGCUCUGCAGUGCUUUUUAGUCAGGCUGUUUAUAGGCCUCCUAGUGCUAGUUAUGUUAUGGCGGACAGGAUAGCAGAGUUGCCACACUCAGUCUGGGGGAAACUCAUCUUCUCUUCAACACAACCGUUUAUGGUCCUGUCAAACUACAGUAAAAGAACAACUGAUGCAAAUUUAGAACAGCACAUAUGUAGAGCCUAUGAACGUGGUCCUUAUAUAGCAACUAUGCAUUUUGUUAUAGUUACAUAUUUAAUCAGUACUUCUCUUUCUUAUUUGCUCUUGGUUUGGAAAUAAACUUUCUUUUAAAACAA